CACGUAGGGCGCAAGCGUUGUCCGGAAUUAUUGGGCGUAAAGAGCUCGUAGGCGGUCUGUUGCGUCCGCUGUGAAAACUCGGGGCUUAACCCCGAGCCUGCAGUGGAUACGGGCAGACUAGAGGUAGGUAGGGGAGAAUGGAAUUCCCGGUGUAGCGGUGAAAUGCGUAGAUAUCAGGAGGAACACCGGCGGUGUAGACGGCUUGCUAGACCAUAACUGACGCUGAGGCACGAAAGCGUGGGUAGCAAACAGG
rnacentral:rRNA from 1 species